CGACGUAGGUAACCUGCCUGGUAGCGGGGGAUAACUAUUGGAAACGAUAGCUAAUACCGCAUAAGAACAUUUACUGCAUGGUAGAUGUUUAAAAGGUGCAAAUGCAUCACUACCAGAUGGACCUGCGUUGUAUUAGCUAGUAGGUGAGGUAACGGCUCACCUAAGCGACGAUACAUAGCCGACCUGAGAGGGUGAUCGGCCACACUGGGACUGAGACACGGCCCAG
rnacentral:rRNA from 1 species